rnacentral:rRNA from 1 species
AUUGAACGCUGGCGGCAGGCCUAACACAUGCAAGUCGAGCGGCAGCGGGAAAGUAGCUUGCUACUUUUGCCGGCGAGCGGCGGACGGGUGAGUAAUGCCUGGGAAAUUGCCCAGUCGAGGGGGAUAACAGUUGGGAACGACUGCUAAUACCGCAUACGCCCUACGGGGGAAAGCAGGGGACAUUCGGGCCUUGCGCGAGUGGAUAUGCCCAGGUGGGAUUAGCUAGUUGGUGAGGUAAUGGCUCACCAAGGCGACGAUCCCUAGCUGGUCUGAGAGGAUGAUCAGCCACACUGGAACUGAGACACGGUCCAGACUCCUACGGGAGGCAGCAGUGGGGAAUAUUGCACAAUGGGGGAAACCCUGAUGCAGCCAUGCCGCGUGUGUGAAGAAGGCCUUCGGGUUGUAAAGCACUUUCAGCGAGGAGGAAAGGUUGAUGCCUAAUACGUAUCAACUGUGACGUUACUCGCAGAAGAAGCACCGGCUAACUCCGUGCCAGCCGCCGCCGUAACAC